AAAACCACGCCCAUAAACGCAAGAUCUUCGGACACGCCCCAAAGGAAGUGUCACAUCACGACAAGCCCCCAAUCGCGUCCCAGAGGGCGGGGACUAGCAGUCAUCUGAUUCGCGGUUGGAGGACGCGGCCGGUCUUCACCAAUCCGAAACCUCAAAGUCGCCUUCUCUUCCGCUUCCGGCAGGUCCUUCGCCGGAAAUGGAAGCUUGAUGCGUGGGCUUCAGUCACUGUUCUUCGCUGCCUUCAUGUUCCGAGGCUGGUUACUCUUCUAUCUGGCAUACCUAGCUCCGCGUUUCCUUGUCAUCUGGACAUCGGCGAGGGGUUGGAUCGAGGCUUUGCACACUGUGUGCCACCCUGAGCCUCACCCCGACUCCCAGGGCUCGUGUUUGUGCAGGUGGCCGUGAUGAUUGUUUUUCCUGUGUGUGUCCUUAAACACCUCGUGUCAAUAUUUUUUAUUUGCUUUUUUUUUUUUCUGUACCGGGGAUUGAACUCAGGACCUCGUGCUUGCCAGGUAGGCGCUGAGCAGUUGAACUACAUCCCUGGCCCGGUUUGUGUGUUUUAAAAACUUGUAAUGGUGUGGGUCAACAGAUGGAUGAAGGAGCACUAUGCAGCCAUAAAGAAGAGAAUCCUGUCUGCAGGAAAAUGGAUGAAACUGGAGGCCAUCGUGUGGAGUGGGAUAAACCGGACUCAUUCAGAUCUCAGGGGUUAUCUGUCAUAGGGAAUCUAGGGGGAAAAGGGGGGCAUGGGUGUGGCCAGACUUAGAGAAGAGGGGCUGGGACAGGGGAAAUGAUCAAAGUGUGUUACCUGCAUGUAUGGAUAUGCCGAAAUGAACCCACUGGUCUGUAUAAAUAAAAGGCAGUAAUAAAAA